CCUACGGGUGGCAGCAGUGGGGAAUAUUGCACAAUGGGGGAAACCCUGAUGCAGCGACGCCGCGUGAGUGAAGAAGUAUCUCGGUACGUAAAGCUCUAUCAGCAGGGAAGAAAAUGACGGUACCUGACUAAGAAGCCCCGGCUAACUACGUGCCAGCAGCCGCGGUAAUACGUAGGGGGCAAGCGUUAUCCGGAUUUACUGGGUGGAAAGGGAGCGUAGACGGCUGGACAAGUCUGGAGUGAAAUCCCGGGGCUUAACCCCGGAACUGCUUUGGAAACUGUGCGGCUGGAGGGCAGGAGGGGGUAGCAGAAUUCCUAGUGUAGCGGUGAAAUGCGUAGAGAUUAGGAGGAACACCGGUGGCGAAGGCGGCUUACUGGACUGUAACUGACGUUGAGGCUCGAAAGCGUGGGGAGCAAACAGGAUUAGAUACCCUUGUAGUC
rnacentral:rRNA from 1 species